GGAUCUCAAAGCUUCACUGACUGAGAAGGGAACUUGCAGAAUCAGAUUCUGCACUGCAUACGGGACGGGGGUAAGAAUUGAGACUCAGGUGUAUAACUUUUUUUGUAAUAGGAAUUCUCCAGUCUGGGUUCCCUAUGUUGGGAUGGAAAGAGCUCUCGGAUAUCCACACCGCAAUAGAACACUUGAGUUCCAGGCUGGAUGCCACCACGUGUUAGAGCUUAGUGGGGUUGACAGACUUUCAAAUUAUUAAUUUUUGAAUACUUGCUGUGUGCCAAAGGACGAGGAACUCAAGAUCGUGGCAGUGGGAAUUAAAGGAGUUCUCUAAGAAGGGUAUUCUCAAGGUUAAACACAAGCCUUGAUUUCGUAACAGGUAUCUGAAUGGGUGAGAGAGUAGUAGUUUGGGUGCACAAACUAUGGUGAUUUAAAAACAAAAUUCUGGGGCGCCUGGGUGGCGCAGUCGGUUAAGCGUCCGACUUCAGCCAGGUCACGAUCUCGCGGUCCGGGAGUUGGAGCCCCGCGUCAGGCUCUGGGCUGAUGGCUCAGAGCCUGGAGCCUGUUUCCGAUUCUGUGUCUCCCUCUCUCUCUGCCCCUCCCCCGUUCAUGCUCUGUCUCUCUCUGUCCCAAAAAUAAAUAAA